rnacentral:rRNA from 1 species
AUUGAACGCUGGCGGCAGGCCUAACACAUGCAAGUCGAGCGGAUGAAGGGAGCUUGCUCCUGGAUUCAGCGGCGGACGGGUGAGUAAUGCCUAUGAAUCUGCCUGGUAGUGGGGGAUAACGUCCUGAAACGGGCGCUAAUACCGCAUACUUCCUUAGGGAGAAAGUGGGGGUUCUUCGGACCUCACGCUAUCAUAUGAGCCUAGGUCGGAUUAGCUAGUUGGUGGGGUAAAGGCCUACCAAGGCGACGAUCCGUAACUGGUCUGAGAGGAUGAUCAGUCACACUGGAACUGAGACAAGGUCCAGACUCCUACGGGAGGCAGCAGUGGGGAAUAUUGGACAAUGGGCGAAAGCAUGAUCCAGCAAUGCCGCGUGUGUGAAGAAGGUCUUCGGAUUGUAAAGCACUUUAAGUUGGGAGGAAGGGCAGUAAGUUAAUACCUUGCUGUUUUGACGUUACCAACAGAAUAAGCACCGGCUAACUUCGUG